AUUGAACGCUGGCGGCAGGCUUAACACAUGCAAGUCGAGCGGGGUGAUGUAGCUUGCUACAUUACCUAGCGGCGGACGGGUGAGCAAUGCUUAGGAAUCUGCCUAUUAGUGGGGGACAACAUUCCGAAAGGAAUGCUAAUACCGCAUACGCCCUACGGGGGAAAGCAGGGGAUCUUCGGACCUUGCGCUAAUAGAUGAGCCUAAGUCAGAUUAGCUAGUUGGUGGGGUAAAGGCCUACCAAGGCGACGAUCUGUAGCGGGUCUGAGAGGAUGAUCGUCCACACUGGGACUGAGACACGGCCCAGACUCCUACGGGAGGCAGCAGUGGGGAAUAUUGGACAAUGGGCGGAAGCCUGAUCCAGCCAUGCCGCGUGUGUGAAGAAGGCCUUUUGGUUGUAAAGCACUUUAAGCGAGGAGGAGGCUACUUGGAUUAAUACUCUAGGAUAGUGGACGUUACUCGCAGAAUAAGCACCGGCUAACUCUGUGCCAGCAGCCGCCGUAAAAC
rnacentral:rRNA from 1 species